GAUGAACGCUGGCGGCGUGCCUAAUACAUGCAAGUCGAGCGAACAGACGAGGAGCUUGCUCCUCUGACGUUAGCGGCGGACGGGUGAGUAACACGUGGAUAACCUACCUAUAAGACUGGGAUAACUUCGGGAAACCGGAGCUAAUACCGGAUAACAUGUUGAACCGCAUGGUUCAACAGUGAAAGACGGUCUUGCUGUCACUUAUAGAUGGAUCCGCGCCGCAUUAGCUAGUUGGUAAGGUAACGGCUUACCAAGGCAACGAUGCGUAGCCGACCUGAGAGGGUGAUCGGCCACACUGGGACUGAGACACGGUCCAGACUCCUACGGGAGGCAGCAGUAGGGAAUCUUCCGCAAUGGGCGAAAGCCUGACGGAGCAACGCCGCGUGAGUGAAGAAGGUCUUCGGAUCGUAAAACUCUGUUAUUAGGGAAGAACAAAUGUGUAAGUAACUAUGCACGUCUUGACGGUACCUAAUCAGAAAGCCACGGCUAACUACGUG
rnacentral:rRNA from 1 species